GCUAGAGUCCCGCAAUAGGAUUUGGUAUUAAGUUGAAAAAAAACAAGCGGGCCCUGUGCCUUUGUACAUAUGAGACAAAGGUGUCCAGCAGGGGAGUGUGGCCAAAAGACAAGCAAGGGCCACUCCCAGCCGUAGGGCUGUUACUGAUCACUCGGUGCCACAUGACUGCCUCCUUGGUUUCCUGUCCAAAAAAAGAAAAGAAAGAAAACAAACAAACAAACAAACAAAAAACGACAGUAAUUGGUGAAGGAAGACGUGUUAGAUUACAAUGUGGCCAGAAGAUGCGUUAAUUCAGCCCUGAGCUGCUUUGUCAGUCCUUCUCUGGAGGGAAGGUGACUGGGCCUCAGGAGGUCCUCAUUGUCUUAAUUCUUUGUUAUAGAGACAUUAUUAUUAUUAAGUUCAAGUCCAAGUCUGAAGAAAAAUGGGGUAGAGACUUCAUUUUGAACGCCGACUGACCCAUUCUGUAGGAGCCCUGGUAGACCAGAACCUUCCAUGUUUCUUUGAGGUCAGCCUCAAGCUCCAACCCCUACUUGCCUGCAACCGUAAAUUCCAUAUGUGCGGAAGAUGCUGAGAAGAAUGAAAACUGGGAACCCAAAGAACCUGCUAUGGGUAUAUUGUGUCCCCACAAAUUCAUAAUUGAAGUUUUACCUCCUAACAUGGUGGUAUUUGAAGGCAAGGCCUUUGAGAGGGCCCAUGGAAACCAGAAGAGGGUGUUGGGUCCCCGGGACCUGGACUUGCAAUCAUAGGUGAGCUGACGCCUGCCUGCUGAGAACUAAGCCCAGCCCUCUGAAAAAGCAGCUCAGCAUGCAACCACUGAGCCAUCUCUCCGCUCUCAUCUUUCCUUUGUCUUUUCUUGUUUUAUCACAUUAAAUUUACUUUCUAUGUA